rnacentral:sRNA from 2 species
UGGCAUAGCCCUUGUUCUCGCAGCUGUCUGGUUAGGAUGGCCCAA